CGCUCACUCACUCAACACUCCCCAGUGCCCGCCAAGCCUGGAAAGGGAGCCGAGGGGCGGGGUCCCCGCUCCGGCCGUGAAGACCGGCUCUCGGAGCUUCAGCCCGGGCCGAGCUGGACACCAGAGACGCCCCAGCAGAGAGGGUCUUUCGGCAAAACGCAGGGGCUCGGUCCACCGACGCCGGGAGCCACGUCCUCCCGCACGCGGCGCCACUCCUCCCAGACGCCUUUGUAAACAACUGUUUGGGCCGGCGAGGGAGUGGCCCAGCCGGGGAGCAGCGAUGAGAGCGGGGCGCGCCCGGAGAACCGCCGCGAGGGGUGGGACGCAGGCCGCGCUAAACCCGCCCGAGGUCCCCGCCGCUUCCUCGCCUCCACCCGCCAUCACCGGGACCCGGCCCGACGCGGGGCGGCGAAGAAGUGCCUGUCAUUUCGAACUCGUGCUGACAGCCUCCGCGCCCGCUUCCCUCACCUGCGGCGGAGUCGGCGUUUUCCUAGCUGCGUCCGGGGCGGGGAAUCUGGCUGGGCCGGCGCCCCGGCGGAGGCGGGGAGAGAUGCGCGGCGGGCGGGGCGGUUCAGCCUCUGCCCCUCAAAGGCCACAUCCCUCGCCGCGCAGCGGGCUGUCCUCCCCGCCGGGUAGCGGCCAGCGCAAUCGCUCCUCUGCGUCGGGAAGCGGGAGGCAGCUUUUCACCUGGAGGCUUAAGCCCAAGGUGGGAGGCGCCAUUUUCUGUACGGAAAGGCAGGGGGCGUGGCUAAGAACAGGGCGGCGCCAUGUUUGUGUACGGAGAGGGGGCGUGGCUCAGAGCGGGGCGGCGCCACGUACGGAGAGUCCGGGGCUGAGGCCGGGUGUUCGCCUCAGGAUGCGAGCGGUGGGAGAGGAGCGCGAGGUAGAGGAGGUGCGGCUUCAGGCAAGUGAAGGAAAAGGGCAGGUCGCCCAGCCGCGCCGCGAUUCCCAGCUUCCCGGCCCAGGUUUCCAAAUGUUUCUUUGAAGACGGACACCCCUAAGAGACCAAACAGACCUACAUUUUAACAAAGAUAAGAAGAUGGAGCAUAAUCAUUUUCUUCACUUGAUGUACAAGACACAGUCUCUACCCUCAGAGGACACAGUCCCUGCUCUUUACCUAUUCAUACCACCUGGAUGAUGAUGUCAAGCUCUGAACAAUAUUCAAUUAAAUAAAGGCCAGUAGCAGAUGUGAGGACAAGAUGUGAAACAUGCCAGAGGAUUUAACUCUUCAUCAGAAAAUAUAAGAAUUCUAAAUCAUUUAAGAUUUAAGAGAAUUUUAUUUAAGGAUUAUAUUUGUCAAAAGAUGUUUUAAGACAUUACGUAAUUACAGAAUUGUCAAGACAAAGAAAAAGGACUAUAUUUAUUAGAUACUAACCAAAUCCUGACAAUAGAUAAAGGUAGAGAACUGUGUUCUGAGUGUUAAAACUGGGCAGCUGUGACUGAGUGGGGAAAAAUUCCUGUACACUGAUUCCAGUAUUGCAACACUUUUACUGCAUAUUGCUUUGGGAGUCCAAAGUUUGUUUUCCUCUUAUAUGUCAUUAGAAUUGUCAUGCAGAAGACUGAGAUUGCUCUGAAAAGAAGGCUGCAGGCAGAUAAAGUAUGUAAAGUAAAUCUCUACUAAUAAGGACAAUUUAAAAAUAUGUUAAGAGAGCUAUCAACAAAAGUAGGCAUUGGCCACUGCUUUAAUUCAUACAGAUUAAUGAGAUAGCAUAUGGGAAGUACUUUGAGCUCCCUGGAAAAGUGAUACCAGGUGAAUUCAAAGAAUUAAGUUACAGUAUAAAGGGAUAGCAGGAUAACAUACCACUUUCUUGUUUGUCUAUAUUAAAAGACAAAUAUCUUUGAAGUACUUACUGAAAGUUAACAUACAGACUUUUCUACACAAAUCAGGUCCCUAGUCGUACAGCCCCUUUAAGGUAUGGCAAAGUUAUUAAUCAGUAGAGAAACAAACGUGCAAGGCUGCUUGCCAGAGCACACAGAAAGGGAAUGGCAAGGAACCAGGAACGGAGGCUCCUAUUACUGUGCUUACUGGGACUGGGACAAGGCAACUAAAGGGUGGAAGAGGUAGGUUGCUAACAAAUGCUAACAGGUAGGUUGCGACUGUAGCAAGCCAAACAAAUGAGAAAAGGCAGUGGGCCCUUUUCUGCCACUGCACCUGGUGUGCAGAGAACAGUGGUCUUGUCCUUGGGUUCAAAUCCACUAAGCAGAACUUCAACUCUUCUUUCUGAAAGUCCUCUACUUAAUUUUGAACACAUAUUCCCUCCCACCCUCUAAGAAUCUGUUCACAAAUGCCCCAAGCUUAGAAUUGGUAUUUCAGUUGUUGGAGAAAAUAGGAUGCCAUAUUUUUAAUUAUGUAAAAUUUGGGAAUUUCUUUCACUCAGAAAGUGAGCCUAAAGAUUUCUCAUGACUAUUUCCAGUAUCAUUUGAUUUUAAAUUCUCAAAUGAUGAAAAGUAUUUUCCUUCAUAAUGUAAAACAAGAAAAAAAUUCUGAAUGUAGAUAUCAUGUGCUUUUCUGAAUCCUUUAAAUUGGAUCAGAAUAGGUCAAUAUUAUGAUUGUUCUUAGAAAAGUACAGAAGAAAAGCAGUUCUUAGUCACAAUUUGUCAUUAACUUUUGAAGAUUAAAAGGAACAUUACUAAUUAUAAGUCAAACACAAGACUGGGGCCACUGAGAUGCACCCAUUUGACCCAAGUCAAUUCACUGACCACUGACACCUGGUUAGCAUUUUACAAAGGAAAAGCUUUUUGUCAGAUAGGAACCAAUUCACCUAACCCCACACUGCAGCUACAGAAAGGGGGAAAAGUUGCAACUUAUCUAAAAGGGGGGAAAAAAAGCCAAGUGUUAUCUGGAUAUCUUAACUAUAUUUUCUGAGUUAUAGAUAUGCUAAAAUGGAAAUUUUGUAACUGAUCACCCGAUUCCGUUUAUUUGGACAUUUAAAGAAACUAGGAUACUAAGCAUAGUGCCC